rnacentral:lncRNA from 1 species
CGAGGUGUUUGUUCAGCUGGAUGACUGUAGAUGCGCUUCAGACUCUGUCCUCCAUCUCCGCACAUCAGAUGAACCUGAGGGAGAACUGAGUUCAUUCCUCAUCCUGAGGAACCAGAGUGACGGUUUGAACUAAAACCGGUAGUUCAGCUAGUUUGUCAUCAUUUACUCGGCCUCAUGUUGCUCCAAACCUGCAGGACUUUGUUUGUUCUGCCUCAGAAGAAAUAAACACAGAUGUGCUGACGCUCCAGAAAAGGUCCUGUGAGGGUGAAGCUGUUAUCAGGCGGAGGGUGGAGCUGAUGUUUGACCAGAUCCACAUGCUGAAGUUCAGAGCGCUGGAGGAGUUGGAGUUUGCAGCUCCUCUGGAGGAGGUGAAUGGUCUUAAGGACAGAAGGGCGGCGCUAGCUAACACACACACACACUCACACACACUCACUCACACACACACUCGCUCACUCACUCUCUCACACACACACAUAGUUCAGUCAGACACAGCCAUACGAGAAUAGUCGAAUGCUGCUGUUUUGCAGAUUGUAAUGUAGUUUUUAUAUGUUUCGUUUUGAGUGUGAUUAUAAAAGCCAGACGUGGUUGCCAGAACUGCAAAUGCCGAUGUUCUUGACUCCAGCUGAUGAAGAUGAAGAUGAUGAAGAUGAGACUGAUGUGACAUUAGACGUGAAUGAACUGCUGAACAUGUAACUCCAGUAAUUCAUCAUCCACCCGUGUCUUCACAACUACACCUUCACUAAUGAGGUUAAUAAAACGAGCAGUGAUGGAUUAUGGUUUUACAGUAGUGACGCCGCUGGUCACAUGACAGCCUCCUGCGAAGCUCCUGAGAAACUCUGCUCAAGUGCACCGAGGGCAAAAGCUGUAAAACACAAAGAUGCUUACACCAGAUGUUGAUUUCAUUUAGGUAAUAGAAGUUAAUUGAUCAAGAAAAUCUAUUUAUGACUUUAUUUUUGACUGCAUUUUUACACAAGUGCCUCAAAUGUUUAACAGCACUGUAGCUUUGCAGGAGGUUUCUCAAAGCGUCUCGGAGACACCGUUCUUCUGGAUUGAGUCUGUCUCAGUUUGUUCUGUUUCUUCACGUGACUCCAGACAGACUGAUGAUGAUCAGAUCAGAGCUCUGUGUGCAGCACUAACAUAUAUCUCACUGCAUUAUUACAAUUAAUGCAAAAACUGUUAUUUCCUACUGACACACUACAGCAAAAGAUAGAAAUAACUGACUCAAAACCAUUUUUAGCUGCUGAUAAUAUUAGUGUUCUAAUGAUUUUGGCCACCACUGUAUAUAUACAGGAUAUAUAUAUAUAAUAUUAAAUACACACACACACACACCAUGAUUACCAUGGUAUACAUUUAAAAGUUUGGGGCUGAAAGAAGUUUCUACUGCUCAUUAAGGGUGAAUUUAUUUAAUCAUAAAUACAGUAAAAACAGUGAAAUAUUAUUAUAAUGUAAAACAGCUGUUUUCUGUGUGAAUCUGUUAAAGUGUAAUGUAUUUCUGUGAUGCACAGCUGUAUUUUCAGCAUCAUUCCUCCAGUCUUCAGUGUCACAUGAUCUUCAGAAAUCAGUAUAAUAUGCUGAUCUGCUGCUCGAGAAACAUUUCUGAUUAUUAUCAAUGUUGAACACAGUCGUGCUGCACAAUAUUUUUGUGGAAACUGUGAUGCAUUGUAUUUUUCAGGAUUCUCAGAUGAACAGAAAGUUCAGAAGAACAGCAUUUAUUUGAAAUAGAAAUCUUCUGUAACAUUAUACCUUUCUUUAUUGACACUUUUGAUCAAUUUAAUGCGUCCUUGA